AUUGAACGCUGGCGGCAGGCCUAACACAUGCAAGUCGAGCGGAUGACGGGAGCUUGCUCCUUGAUUCAGCGGCGGACGGGUGAGUAAUACCUAGGAAUCUGCCUGAUAGUGGGGGACAACGUUUCGAAAGGAACGCUAAUACCGCAUACGUCCUACGGGAGAAAGCAGGGGACCUUCGGGCCUUGCGCUAUCAGAUGAGCCUAGGUCGGAUCAGCUAGUUGGUGAGGUAAUGGCUCACCAAGGCGACGAUCCGUAACUGGUCUGAGAGGAUGAUCAGUCACACUGGAACUGAGACACGGUCCAGACUCCUACGGGAGGCAGCAGUGGGGAAUAUUGGACAAUGGGCGAAAGCCUGAUCCAGCCAUGCCGCGUGUGUGAAGAAGGUCUUCGGAUUGUAAAGCACUUUAAGUUGGGAGGAAGGGCAGUAAGCUAAUACCUAGCUGUUUUGACGUUACCGACAGAAUAAGCACCGGCUAACUCUGUGCCAGCCGCCGCCGUAAUAC
rnacentral:rRNA from 1 species